GCGAUGUUGAUCACCGAGUUUAACGCAUGCGUGCCUGUGCUGCUGCCGAGGCUCUGUCCACACACUACUCCUUGAAAUAAAAGACUGGCUCUGUAGUAAGUGAGCCAUACAUCACUCUGUUUCUCUGGAUGCGGAAAAAUCAUGGUGCAAUUGGACUUUGGGAGCUUGUCUUUACCACCACUCUCUCUCUCUCUCUCUCCCUCUCUCUCUCUCUCUCUCACACACACACAGACACUAAAUUAUUUACUAUAUCUGAAAAACAUGUGUUAGAAACUUUAAUUUUUUGCGGUCCAAAUCCAUUGUAUGAUGUUAGUAUUUAAUUUCCAAUCUUUAAUUUAUUUUUUUGGUGACAGAGAAUGGGCAGAGGAAACGAAUGCCAGAGGGGGAAAGAGGAGAAAACAGGGGAAAAACGUUUUUAGGUGAAGAUAAGACAGGGCAGAUACCCAAGUGGCUACAGUUACUCGUCAGGUUGGGAUCAUGAAUGAACAUCCGACGUGGCAACUUUUAAGCCUACCACGUGCUUGUACAAAACAAAUGUGUUCCCCAAAUUAUUUGCAGAUCCGGAUCCAAAAUAAAUGCUGUUUUGAAGAUAUACGCCUUUUUUUUCGUUAAAAAAUGUUUACUCC
rnacentral:lncRNA from 1 species